GACACGCUGGCGGCGUGCUUAACACAUGCAAGUCGAACGGUGACGAGGAGCUUGCUCCUCCGAUCAGUGGCGAACGGGUGAGUAACACGUGAGCAACCUGCCCCUCACUCUGGGAUAACAGUUGGAAACAGCUGCUAAUACCGGAUACGACACAGACAGGCAUCUGUACUGUGUGGAAAGUUUUCGGUGAGGGAUGGGCUCGCGGCCUAUCAGUUUGUUGGUGGGGUAAUGGCCUACCAAGACGACGACGGGUAGCCGGCCUGAGAGGGCGACCGGCCACACUGGGACUGAGACACGGCCCAGACUCCUACGGGAGGCAGCAGUGGGGAAUAUUGCACAAUGGGCGAAAGCCUGAUGCAGCGACGCCGCGUGAGGGAUGACGGCCUUCGGGUUGUAAACCUCUUUCAGCAGGGAAGAAGCGAAAGUGACGGUACCUGCAGAAGAAGCACCGGCUAACUACGUG
rnacentral:rRNA from 1 species